rnacentral:lncRNA from 1 species
UUUUACUGGCUUCGUAAAAUAUAACUUAUAGGGUGCGUUUAGUUCGCAUUAUGAAAAAUUACUAGGAAUAAAAAAUAUUCGAGAAUCUUAUUUCUAUUCAUUCUAUUAUUAAGAAUGUUGAAUUUCUGUGUUUGGUUCGCACGGUAAUAUUAAUUAGCCAUAUUAUUUAAUAUUGCAAAAAAUAUACAAUUAAUUAAUUAAUUUAUUUAAUUAAUUUUAGAUAAUGUUACCAAAAGUUUCAACAUCUUUUUAGAAAAAAGGGAGAGAGAGUAUAAGUUAGAGAAAGAGAGCAUAAUUUAAAAAAUAGAAAGAAAAAUAAAGUCAAAGUUAGAGGGAGUGAGAGAGUUGAAAUUUUAGAAAGAGAGAGAGAGAGAGAGAAAGCUUAGUUUAGAGAGAGAAAAAAAGUUGAAUUUUAGAGAGAAAAAUAAGUUUAGAGAGAGAUAUAAGGUUAGAGUGUAAANCCAAGUGACUUCUCGCGUUGGUCACGCUCGGUACCCUUGUUCUCUAACAACCACCUGCAUAUUCGCUUCAGUGUCCCCACACUGUCGACUCGAAACUCAUCUACCCUGAAAGGGAAGCGACUUAUGCACCAAUCUCAUCGGAUCAAUCACCGUCCCCGUGAUGAUCCAUUGAUCGGGAGCAUUUAGGAAUUAAUCACCAAUGACACAUGUCUCAAAUUCUCAACCCUUGAAAAUAUAUGUCAUCAUCUUAUUAAUUUCUUGGACGAUUCAUGGACACAUACAUAACAUGAAUGGAAAUAAAAAUCCAAAGUUAUUCAUAAUAUUUUAAAAUCAAAUACAAAAUUAUGUCCUAGAAAGAAUACAUGUGUCGGCCUGGUUGGCUUCUAGGGCAUACAUCUAACAGAUUGUACAUGAGAAAAAAGCAUACGGAGAAUAGAAGGAGUUCAUGGCCUUCCCCGAAGAAUGGGAGGAUAUACCCGAGGCCAUUAGUGAUCCGGACAAAUGUUCAAAGGAGGGCCCCAAUGACUCCGAAAUGGAGAUGAACUCAAAAAAGGACUGCAGGGAUUCACCAAUUCAGAAGGUCCUGAAUGAGUACUACCAGCCAGGGAGAAGGCCAGCUAAAAAUAUAGUUAAAAUUUAUUUCUACUAUCUCUAUUUAUUUUAUCAAAUUAUUUUAUCUAUACUAAAAUAUAGUUAAAAUUUAUUUUUAUUUAAUUAUUUAUUAUUUAUAUUAUAAAAAAGUUUGUGAGUAUUACGUUAAAUUUUAAAAGGUUGGUAGUCCCACCUGUUGAUGAAAAUUCAAAAUCAUAUAUUAUUAUUUUAAUAUAUUAAUUAAUUUUAUUUUAUUUUAUUUAUUAUUAUUUUUUUAAUCAGCGUCCUUUUAGCACGAACGUCCGCGAGCAUGCGCGGACGUUGCGUACCCUCGCGCUCCGUGCGUGCGGACAUUGCGCUCGCUCGCGCCUGUGCGCGCCUACUGGAGAGGACUCAGACAGACGUUUCUUGAUGCAUAAUUAAAAGAGGCUAAUUAAGGGGUGUAAUGACGAAAUGUGAACAUUGGGAUUCCCAACGUUCCAUUCCUCUUUCUUUAUGUAUAAAUAUCUUGUGUUUACUGCUGCAAGGUUUACUGUUGCAAGAUACAUGUUCUAUAUACACAAAGGAUAGUAAGAAGAAAAUUUUAUUUUGAGAUAUUUUUAUAGUUUUUUUUUUCUUCUACUUGUUUAAUAUUUUAUCAUCGGGUGUUGAAAGAUUCUCCGUCAGCUUCUUCAGUGUUCGUGUCCGCAGGAGGAGGAAUUCCAUAUUGUAAAAUCUUUUUGAUCUUUUAUUAAAAUAUUUUUUAAAAAACAACUCAAGGGUUUAAUUUUAGUUUACGAAAAAAUCCCGAAAAAAAAUUAAACAAAAAGAUUGUAAAGAAAAGAAUAAGAAAAGGCCUGUGCAUCAAGGCGUGUAGAGCACUGUCCUAGAAGCGAAAUUGCCCCUCCACGUACGAGGCUUCUCGGCAAUUACUCCUAGCGAUACAACAAUAGCAUUGCGAAAUUGCCCCUCCACGUCCCCCUCCACAUGCCCCUCCGCGUCCUAGAAGGGAAAUUGCCCUUCCACUUGCGAGGCUCAGAUACUCUGUAAGUAAGUAGCAUUGCUACCAUCCUUUUAUUUAUGUCAUCGGCUGAACAUAAGAGGCUGUAUAUGGUUGCAGAUGGUUGCCUGGGAAAAAGCCAUCCAAACCUGCAAUGCUUAGCCUUUCACUAGAAUAGAGCAGGAAAAAAGCAAGGGGAAAAAGGUGGGUGAAGUUGAGUGAAAACUUGAAGCUUCAUUGGAAAAAGGUGGCAAGUAAAAAAUCUGUAAAACAAUUGAACCAAAUGAUAAAACAGUAAACACGAAUGAGAAGGGGAUGAUUAAGAAAAAGAAAGAACCCAAACUGUAUAAUUCUGUCAAAAAAGCAUCGAGAAAGGUAACCACAAAAGAGUGAAGGAAAACUAAAAGAACAUUUUAAACACUGUGAAUCAUAGAUAAAAUAGAGGGAAAAAAAACAAAAAGGCGAGUGCUAAAUCGACGUAGUAGUAUAUUAUUUGUUAAAGUAAUCAUAGCUGUUGGAAAUAAUAGGCAGCGGAAACUUACAAACCGGAUAGCCAACGUAUCCGGGAACCGGAAUCGGAUUGGGUUGCUCGUUUUACAAGCCUUAUUGGAUCGUCCUUGUCUCGAUACUUCUGGAUCUCUCACGUUUCGUCUUCUUCCACGCGUCUCUCACGUUUCGUCUUCUUCCACGCGUACGCCUUACGUCACGGAACGGAUCGCCUUACGUCACAGAUGCCAAUCGGAGAGGGCUACCAGAGUCCUCUCCUAUGUCCACACUCUAAAACCCCGGGAACGUAGGUGGAAAUCCUAGAGAGGAAGAAGAGAGAGAAGAAGGAAGANAAUAUCAAUUAGCCGGCGGGUAGGAAGAAAGAAAGAGAUUAGACAUAUUAUGAUUACCCCAAUCAAUUAAUAUGAGGAUACCCACCUUCCCUCAAGGGAAUGAGAUUAGUACUUUGGGGUGAAUCUUAUUCUCAAGUGAAUCCAAUAUUACCAACUAGAUUACUUAGUGAGUUUAGCCAAACACCGUCAUAUUUUUUUAUUCCCAUUAGAUUAUUAGGAAUCUUUAAAAGAUAGCGCGAACCAAACGCACCCAUAUGGUCUCAUCAGAAACUGAAGAAGCAUAUCUAUAUAUUAGAGCUGUCAACGAGCUAAACAAAAGUGAGCUAGGGCCGGCUCGUGUUCGGCUCAUUUAUGAAACAACCCAAACACAAGCUGCCUCGUUAAAGUAUCAAGCCAAAAUUCAGCUCGUGUUCGGGCUCGCUCACGAACAACAAACUAAAAAGAUUGAAAAGAAUAUAUAUAGAAAAUAAAUUUAUGAGUUCUUACUCAUUAGAUUUUGAUCUAAAAAUUGAAACUUUAUAUAUAAAUAGGUUCUUUUUAUAAUUGAGUUGGACCUUAUAUAUAGUUGGACUAAAAUUAAAUAAUAAAAAUUUAUAUUUUAUAAUAUAUAUAUAUAUAUAUAAUAUAAUAUAACAAUUCAUAAAUUAUAUAAAUAUAAAAUAUAUGUAUUCGAGCUGUUAUCGAGCCGGACACAAGCAAGUUGACUCCAGUUCAUGUUUGGCUCGUUUAUUAUAAAAUGAGCUGAAAAAUUAAACUCGUGCUCGACUCGUUUACUAAACAAGCGAUUCGAUCUCAAGCUCAUUCCGAGUUAAAUCCAAGCUGACUCGCAAAUAUCGAGCUGAAUUGCCACCCCACCUAUAUAUGCCUCCGCCCCAACUUAU